rnacentral:tRNA from 1 species
UGAGAUGUAGCUCUGUGGGUAGAGUGUUUGCCUAGCAUGCACAAGGCCCUGGGUUCCACCCCCAACACCAAAA